rnacentral:lncRNA from 1 species
AUAGCAAUGCCAGGCUAUGAUGUUGGAGUCUAUUCAGUUUGCCUCACUUGACCCACAUGUCAGUUAUGAGCUAAACCUCACAGGCUGUCUCCUCAGGGUUAGUGGUUAUUUUUCCUCAGCUAGAGGGAAGAACAAAGGAAUGGAGCCCAGAUGCACCAGAAUGGGGACCUGGUGGAAGAACUGAAAAAGCUGGGGAUCCGCUCCACCCUUUUAGAUGAAAAAAGAAAUAUGGAUGUGCCCAUAGCACACAUUACUCAGCUUUGAAACUGGCAGAUAAGGCUGUUGCCUUACAGAAGGGCAGAGAAACAUGAAGGAAUCAACCCAAGUCCAUGAGUGACUGAAUGAGUUGAGUAGGCCACCUAUGUGCUCUGGACUGUCAAGUGGAGAGAAACUUGACAAGUGGUAUCCAGGGGUAUGAUCUGCAACAGAGCUGCUCAUCACCGCUCUCUAAUUUUGGGGCCUCGUGUAGGGGAAGAGCUCAUUCGCUUCUCUUGGGAUGUGAGCCAGCUGGGAUAGAUGCUUCACUAAGAGACAUGUGUGCACUUUGUCCUGAUCUGAGCUCACUGUGAAGGGCCUUUGAACUCAUCAAGCAAUUCCAGGAAGUGGAAGAUGAUCAAAGAACACAAGAGAAUCAUGGUUUAAGCUUCUUUUAAAGUCGAGUUUGGAUGUGCUGUGAAGAGGGAGGAGGCAGCUUUCUUGUCCACCGGCAUCACAUAAAGAGAAGAGCUGUGAAUCCCCACAAAGAACCACUUGCACCAUAAGUACCAGGGCAGGGGAGGCGUGGGGCUUGUAACAUUAGAUUAUUGGGCCCUCCUCACACCCUCAAAAUCAGAAUUUGGUGGGGCGGGGGGCUGCGGGAGGACGGUGAGAGUAGGUCCCAGCAGUCAGCAAUUCAAAUAAGCCCCCAGGUGACUCUAAUGUACUGGAAAGUUUGAGGACAACUAAGUUAAAGCAUGGGACUUGGAGAGUUCCAACCCUGCUUCUACUACUUAUCAACUCUGUGAUCUUUGGCAAGCUAUUUAACCUCUCUGAGCUUUAGAUUCUUCCUUAUAGAAUGGAAUAACCAUAGUACCUCCCUCACAGUGCUGUGGGGAGGAUUAAAUGAGAUAACAUGUUCCCAAUUAGAAAUGGUAGUUAUUAAAUUUCUUCUCCCAUUAUGCAUUAUUUUUGUUUCUCCUUUUGAGUAGGAAAUGCAAAUUUAUCUUUCUCCACUUGAAGCACACCACCCCCCGCCGCCCCCGCAUUUUCCUUUCACCAGCAGGUGUUUGGCACGUCUAAACACUUGUUUAAAACCCUGUUAAAAACAUAGGCAAAGCAGAGGCUCCAUACAGUGGCUAAAGAUGUUUACCACAUGGAUGGCACACCUGAGAAGUGCCUACCUGAGCAGUGCCCUUUUCAGAUGAUCUUCUCCUAACUUCCCACCUCCCUCUCCCUAAAUUAAAACCUUUGCAUCCAGUGUACUGUCUCUGUACGGUUCUUCUCUGUGUCAG